GAACGUCGUGAGACAGUUCGGUCUCUAUCCGCCGCGCGCGUUGAAACUUAAGGAAGGCUGUCCCUAGUACGAGAGGACCGGGACGGACGUACCUCUGGUGUGCCAGUUGUUCCGCCAGGAGCAGGGCUGGUUGGCUACGUACGGAAGGGAUAACCGCUGAAAGCAUCUAAGCGGGAAGCCUGUUUCGAGAUGAGGUUUCUGU
rnacentral:rRNA from 1 species